GGGGUCGCGCGGAUCUUCAGAGAUUAGAGUUUGAUCAUGGCUCAGGACGAACGCUGGCGGCGUGCCUAAUACAUGCAAGUCGAGCGGACAGAUGGGAGCUUGCUCCCUGAUGUUAGCGGCGGACGGGUGAGUAACACGUGGGUAACCUGCCUGUAAGACUGGGAUAACUCCGGGAAACCGGGGCUAAUACCGGAUGCUUGUUUGAACCGCAUGGUUCAAACAUGAAAGGUGGCUUCGGCUACCACUUACAGAUGGACCCGCGGCGCAUUAGCUAGUUGGUGAGGUAACGGCUCACCAAGGCGACGAUGCGUAGCCGACCUGAGAGGGUGAUCGGCCACACUGGGACUGAGACACGGCCCAGACUCCUACGGGAGGCAGCAGUAGGGAAUCUUCCGCAAUGGACGAAAGUCUGACGGAGCAACGCCGCGUGAGUGAUGAAGGUUUUCGGAUCGUAAAGCUCUGUUGUUAGGGAAGAACAAGUGCCGUUCAAAUAGGGCGGUACCUUGACGGUACCUAACCAGAAAGCCACGGCUAACUACGUGCCAGCAGCCGCGGUAAUACGUAGGUGGCAAGCGUUGUCCGGAAUUAUUGGGCGUAAAGGGCUCGCAGGCGGUUUCUUAAGUCUGAUGUGAAAGCCCCCGGCUCAACCGGGGAGGGUCAUUGGAAACUGGGGAACUUGAGUGCAGAAGAGGAGAGUGGAAUUCCACGUGUAGCGGUGAAAUGCGUAGAGAUGUGGAGGAACACCAGUGGCGAAGGCGACUCUCUGGUCUGUAACUGACGCUGAGGAGCGAAAGCGUGGGGAGCGAACAGGAUUAGAUACCCUGGUAGUCCACGCCGUAAACGAUGAGUGCUAAGUGUUAGGGGGUUUCCGCCCCUUAGUGCUGCAGCUAACGCAUUAAGCACUCCGCCUGGGGAGUACGGUCGCAAGACUGAAACUCAAAGGAAUUGACGGGGGCCCGCACAAGCGGUGGAGCAUGUGGUUUAAUUCGAAGCAACGCGAAGAACCUUACCAGGUCUUGACAUCCUCUGACAAUCCUU
rnacentral:rRNA from 1 species